UACGUAGGGGGCAAGCGUUGUCCGGAAUUAUUGGGCGUAAAGCGCGCGCAGGCGGUCCUUUAAGUCUGAUGUGAAAGCCCACGGCUCAACCGUGGAGGGUCAUUGGAAACUGAGGGACUUGAGUACAGAAGAGAAGAGUGGAAUUCCACGUGUAGCGGUGAAAUGCGUAGAGAUGUGGAGGAACACCAGUGGCGAAGGCGACUCUUUGGUCUGUAACUGACGCUGAGGCGCGAAAGCGUGGGGAGCAAACAGG
rnacentral:rRNA from 1 species